CAGCAGCCGCGGUAAUACGUAGGUGGCAAGCGUUGUCCGGAAUUAUUGGGCGUAAAGGGCGCGUAGGCGGACAAUUAAGUCGGGGGUGAAAGCCCGGGGCUCAACCUCGGAAUUGCGUUCGAUACUGGCUGUCUUGAGUGUGAGAGAGGUGUGUGGAACUCCGAGUGUAGAGGUGAAAUUCGUAGAUAUUCGGAAGAACACCAGUGGCGAAGGCGACACACUGGCUCACUACUGACGCUGAGGCGCGAAAGCGUGGGGAGCAAACAGGAUUAGAUACCCGUGUAGUCCCUGUCUCUUAUAC
rnacentral:rRNA from 1 species